GACAAGGAGGGUGUGGGGGAAAUUUUGAAGGUCAAACUAAGUGAGUGACCUGCUAAUGACACCCGCGCUGCUUCCUCCCUCUCUCACUUGGAGCCUUGAUCACGCAGCACUCCUGGUGCACACUGGCUUUCUUCUCCUUUCUCAUGUGAAUGAUUUGCCGGACUCAGAACCUUUUCAACUGACCUCAUCAGACCACGCCGGCGACUCUUUACAGACGCUGCUCAGUAUCUAUUUACAGGGAGUUUCUCCACCAUCCCUGACACACACACACAGAAUUUACAGCCCGAGGUGAAAAAGAACGUCUCCAUGUCAUUCAACAACCACCUUGAAGCAUCUCGACUCCAAGCCGCUCGUCGGUGUUUCUGCCCCCUCCAGGAGGGAAACUUUCACCGCCUCCUUGGAAACCAGUCAUCUCUUCCUCUUUAAUGUUAUUUUGUGUGACAGUCUGGGUUGACCUCCUUGUGAUUUAUGUUAUACACCCUGCUGUGAGACCCAGCUUUUACAACAACCAUUUAUAAAUACUCUGACACAAUCAAACAGUUCAGACUGUUUUAAAGUUCUGAAAGUCAAACUUUUAAUCUUUUUGGUGGAGCUCUGCAGUUUGAAAACAAGAACUCAAAUACUUAUUGUUUACUCUGUAUAGUUCCCCUUAUAAAAUAAGAGAAAGUUAUCUCUUCCCCGCGUUCCCUAUUUCUACUAAACAUUCUUUUUCUUAACAAAUAAGCUCGUGAAAGAGCGACAGAGAAAUAAAACAAAAUGGCAGUGAGAUGAAUGGCGAAGGAAGUCGCAGUUUCCGGGUUGGGAGAGUGAGUAUAGUCUAGGGUGGGGAGGCUGAGAGCUGACACGCCGGUGUGACACCAAAUCUCAGCAUUUCCCCGCACAAUUGACCAAAAUGAAAACACGCCGCGGAUUGUAUUCCUAGCUUUGGCCUUGUGUUUUGAAUGAAAGAAUCUUGUUUGUGCUCCUCUGCCCUCAUCUCACCCCUGCAGAAGCUUUCGGUCACCCCCAUGUAUCACUUACUGGCCUUAUUUGCUUCAAGACAUCACUGCUGUCACAGCUGCAGCUUUUUGCAUUGUUCAGAAAACAAAGAUUUUGAACAAAGAAGCUGCAGGAGAAACAUUAGAAGUGCUAAUGGAGAAAUCUGCACUGCCUAACAAAAAAUCUGGCAACUUACACUGUAAAUUAUUUGUUACUUACAAAGAUUUAGACCUUUUUUUUGACAUUUCAAGAUUUUUUUACCAAGUUUUAAGUGGUUUUAACUAUGCUUUGUUCUACACCUUCCCAAGCUUAUCUCAAAGCAGAGUUUAGAGUUUUGUGUCCCUUAAAGAGAGAAAUAAGGAAAUUAUUGUUAGAAUGAGUGAAACUCAUUGUGCUCUACACUCUUGACAAUAAAAACAAAGAAAAAAAACUUACUGUAAUUAGUUUUUUUCAUUGUUAAGAAUGCCAUUUUAAAGUUCAAUAAAUGUUUAGACAGGCA